CAGAAACCUAUCAAACCUUGUUGUUUAUAACAGGAACCAGCUAAACUUUGUUACAGAGGGUUGAAUGGCUUGUAACGUCGGAUGAAGGCAGAGAGAGAGUAAGACAAAGAAGAGCAGAGGGAAGGUCCAGAUCACCAGGCUGGGCUCCAGCGACAUCUCUGGUCUGGUUCUGGAUGUGUCUGCAAUGGUGGAAUGGCCGAAGCCAUCAGAGACCAAGUCACAGCCCCAAAAAUGGGUCAAAAAGGGACCUGGGCGCCCCGUCGGGCAGGAAAGGGCAGGCGGCGUCCGCGGGGCGGGCUGCAGGGAAAGGGCAACCUCAGCCCACCCACACUUCCCAGCACCGACGGGGCGGGCUUUCCCCCGCCUCAGCAAGUGCUGCGAGCCCAGCGCCGCCCCGAGGGGCCGGCGUGGGGCCGAGGAGGAGGAGGAGGAGGAAGAGGAGGAGGAGGAGGAGAAGGAGGAGGAGGAGGAGGAGGAGAAGGAGGAGGAGGAGGAGGAGGAAGGGGGCACCGCCCGUCCAGCCGCCCCCCGACGGCAGGGAGGGGCGUGGCUAUGCAAAUCGACCCCCUCAAGCAGCCAAUGGGAGGGCGAGGCGAGCCGCGGGGGCGUGGCUCCUCGCCGGGACUAGCGCUGGGCUCGACGGCGCGGCCGCUCCGACGGCACCGGCAGCGCGGGGAGCGAGGCGGGCGAAUUGGAUUCUACCAGAUCACAGAGAUCGUGGGUGGUGCUGCAUGUAUCUUUGGAGAUGAACUUCUCACAGGUGGCCUAGAUCCAUGCGUUCACUUGCUGAUGUCCAGCUGGUUACACCAGGAGCUCACUUGGCGAAGUGCCUGAGACUCGCAGCAGCGACUGAAGUCAGAAUUUACAAGGUACGGAGAACUGUUUCAAGUGUCUUAACUUGGCAUCGUAACUCAUCAAGUGUGAUAGUGUUGUCCUUAAUCACUGUGCGCUGAAAUCUGUGUCUGCAGAUUGGGCUGUUAGGACUGCCUUCCCCAGAGGACUCUGAGGAGUUUAUGGAGCAUUCCAGGGAUUAUCACAGGAGAAAACACUGAGGAAAUGAAAAGUAGUAACACAGCAAAUGAGAUAUCUAACCGUGAACUGAAUUAUAUUAAAUUUUAUGUUGUACAACAUUAUUUUUUUCAGCACAUACAGAUUGUAAGCAGAGACUUGGUGGAAGUGAUGGGAUGCAGGACAGUGUUUAAUUGCAUGAUCAUCCUGUGCAUAGGAGACAUUACUGUGCAAUCUGAGUCUACAUUUGACAGCUCCUUACUCUUAUUUUAAUGUUUGACUUUUUAUUCUUCCAUGUUUUGUUUUUUUUUUUUUAAAAAAAAAAAACAAAAAACUUUUUUUUUAUAGAGAUGCUGCAGAAUUAGUAUAUGCAUGAACUUAUUACAACAUUAGUAAUAUACAGUGUGAAGAUUUCUGUUUCUGCUUCUCCCUUUCUUUCUACAUUAUUUUAUGUAACACCUGACAUUAGUUGUGGGUGAGAAAGGCAAACUAUAAGAUGCCCUUUUGAGGGUAGGGGAAGGAAGGGUAGACCUUUUCCUAUAAAGUUAUGAGCUUAUUAUGCAAGAGUUCCUACUCAGUGUGGUUUUGUGUUUAAAUGUAAACUUUCCCCAGUCUUGGCCUAGAACUCUUGCUUCAGUUUUGAGUAGAAAAAAUGGUUAUUGUACUAAAUUCCUGAUGUAAGUGUAUGCGUACUUGAGUGCAUCUCUGAAUUAAAAUUGUUGGAAAUUUUUGGGUGCCUGAAGUCUGGAAGAAUACAAUAUAGUACCUUGUGGAUUUAACCAUUCUUAGGGUAUUUUUCCAGAGAAGUGCACCAGCUUUGUUAAGCACAUAAAAUAAAUUGUAAUUAUUGUUGAACCA
rnacentral:lncRNA from 1 species